rnacentral:misc_RNA from 1 species
GAGAAAACUUGGUGAGACUGAGUCCUCUGGUAGUUUCAGCAACAAAGAAAUGAAACCCUCGCUUUUUACAAAUCCAAAUCCAUGGCCUCCACAACAACAUAGAGUUGUUAAUCAUGUUGAUGACAGCAACAGCACCUUGUUAGAACGCAGUGGAACUGCCAGCCAAAUUUAUGGUUAUUCUCUGGCCCCGUCGGUAUUGCAUCAAACUGUUGCA